rnacentral:sRNA from 1 species
AAGCCCAAAGCCAAUCCCAAAGCCAAUCCCAGGGACAGUGAAGCUUCAGAGGGUCUUUCUGUCCAGGUGCUGGUAGUCCGCAUCUUCACAGACAUG